AUUGAACGCUGGCGGCAGGCCUAACACAUGCAAGUCGAGCGGAUGAAGGGAGCUUGCUCCUGGAUUCAGCGGCGGACGGGUGAGUAAUGCCUAGGAAUCUGCCUGGUAGUGGGGGAUAACGUCCGGAAACGGGCGCUAAUACCGCAUACGUCCUGAGGGAGAAAGUGGGGGAUCUUCGGACCUCACGCUAUCAGAUGAGCCUAGGUCGGAUUAGCUAGUUGGUGGGGUAAAGGCCUACCAAGGCGACGAUCCGUAACUGGUCUGAGAGGAUGAUCAGUCACACUGGAACUGAGACACGGUCCCGACUCCUACGGGAGGGCGCAGUGGGGAAUAUUGGACAAUGGGCGAAAGCCUUGUCCAGCCAUGCCGCGUGUGUGAAGAAGGUCUUCGGAUUGUAAAGCACUUUAAGUUGGGAGGAAGGGCAGUAAGUUAAUACCUUGCUGUUUUGACGUUACCAACAGAAUAAGCACCGGCUAACUUCGUG
rnacentral:rRNA from 1 species